rnacentral:tRNA from 1 species
CGGGAAAUAACUCAGUCUGGUAAAGUGCGUGCCUUGGGAGCACGAAGUCGUAGGUUCAAAUCCUGCUUUCCCGC